rnacentral:rRNA from 1 species
UGAGGAAUAUUGGGCAAUGCCCGAAAGGGUGACCCAGCAACGCCGCGUGGAGGAUGAAGGUCGUAAGAUUGUAAACUCCUGUUAGAGGGGAAGAAUAACUAAGUUUGGAGCUUAGUAUGACUGUACCCUCAGAGAAAGCCCCGGCUAACUACGUGCCAGCAGCCGCGGUAAUACGUAGGGCGCAAGCGUUGUCCGGAUUUACUGGGUGUAAAGGGCGCGCAGGCGGAAUGGAAAGUCAGUGGUGAAAUCCUACAGCUUAACUGUAGAACUGCCUUUGNUACUUUCAUUCUUGAGUUCGGGAGAGAGAGACGGAAUUCCAGGUGUAGUGGUGAAAUACGUAGAUAUCUGGAAGAACACCAGUUGCGAAGGCGGUCUCUUGGUCCGACACUGACGCUGAGGCGCGAAAGCGUGGGGAGCAAACA